AUCCAGGGAUGGGAAUCAAACCCACAGUCUUCCGCCGGGUAGAUGCCAUGUCCACUAGGCUACCCUGGA